UACGUAGGGUGCGAGCGUUGUCCGGAAUUAUUGGGCGUAAAGGGCUCGUAGGCGGUUUGUCACGUCGGGAGUGAAAACUCGGGGCUCAACCCCGAGCCUGCUUCCGAUACGGGCAGACUAGAGGUAUGCAGGGGAGAAUGGAAUUCCUGGUGUAGCGGUGAAAUGCGCAGAUAUCAGGAGGAACACCGGUGGCGAAAGCGGCUCACUGGACCAUAACUGACGCUGAUGCACGAAAGCUAGGGGAGCAAACAGG
rnacentral:rRNA from 1 species